GAAAUGCGAUAAGUAGUGUGAAUUGCAGAAUUCAGUGAAUCAUCGAAUCUUUGAACGCACAUUGCGCCCUUUGGUAUUCCUUAGGGCAUGUCUGUUCGAGCGUCAUCUAAACCUUCAAGCCCUGCUUGGUGUUGGGUGCCUGUCCCGCCUCCGCGCGCGGACUCACCUCAAAUCCAUUGGCGGCCCCCGCGUCGGCCACGAGCGCAGCAGAAACGCGAACUCGUGAGCCCGUCCGGGCGGCUCCCAGAAGCUACACCCACCCAGUUUGACCUCGGAUCAGGUAGGGAUACCCGCUGAACUUAAGC
rnacentral:misc_RNA from 1 species